rnacentral:rRNA from 1 species
UACGUAGGGGGCGAGCGUUGUCCGGAAUCAUUGGGCGUAAAGCGCGUGUAGGCGGCUCGGUAAGUCCGGUGUGAAACCUUGGGGCUCAACCCCAAGCCUGCACUGGAUACUGUCGAGCUUGAGUCCGGGAGGGGAGAGCGGAAUUCCUAGUGUAGCGGUGAAAUGCGCAGAUAUUAGGAAGAACACCGGUGGCGAAGGCGGCUCUCUGGAACGGUACUGGCGCUGAGACGCGAAAGCGUGGGGAGCGAACAGG